rnacentral:rRNA from 1 species
UAUUGGACAAUGGGCGCAAGCCUGAUCCAGCCAUGCCGCGUGAGUGACGAAGGUCUUCGGAUUGUAAAGCUCUUUUGGCGGGGACGAUAAUGACGGUACCCGCAGAAUAAGCCCCGGCUAACUUCGUGCCAGCAGCCGCGGUAAUACGAAGGGGGCUAGCGUUGUUCGGAAUUACUGGGCGAAAGCGCACGUAGGCGGAUUUGUAAGUCAGGGGUAAAUCCCGGGGCUCAACCUCGAACUGCCUUUAUACUGCAGGUCUCAGCCGAAGAGGUAGUGAAUCCCAGUGAAGGUAAAUUCGAGUUAGAAGACACCAGUGGCAAGCGCUACUGUCCGGUCUGCGUGCGUGAGUAGA